UCCGUAGGCGGGCAAUUAAGUCAGAGGUGAAAUCCCACAGCUCAACUGUGGAACUGCCUUUGAUACUGGUUGUCUUGAGUUACAGUGAAGUAGAUAGAAUAUGUAGUGUAGCGGUGAAAUGCAUAGAUAUUACAUAGAAUACCGAUUGCGAAGGCAGUCUACUAACUGUAUACUGACGCUAAUGGACGAAAGCGUGGGGAGCGAACAGGAUUAGAUCCCCUGGUAGUCC
rnacentral:rRNA from 1 species